AUAUAUAUUUCGUUCGUGAUUAUUCUUGAGUAUGUUCAUUUUUAGUGAUGCCCUUUGAGUACACCGAUGUGUGAUGGUAAGGACAUUAGAAAUAUAAAAAAAUACAAAGAUUAAUAUAGGAGAUGAAACUAAUCGAAAAUAAGGGUAUCGAUCCCUGUAUCUCCCACAUGCCAACCGAUCCUGUUGGCCUAACAGUACCCAUUCUACGUAUUUGUGUGCUGUGUGAAUGUCAACCGUUGUUAACAAAUAAUGGCAAAUAUUUUGGGUAAAAUACGGCUAAAUCAUUGGUAUUUCUUCUUAAUCAUUUCAAAAUUAGAGCCUUUAAUAAUGAGUUCCCCUUUCUGCGGAUAAGAAGCUAUAAAGCAAUCCCAGACAAGUACGUUGUACUCAUUUGCCGUAUCCUCAUAUCCUAUUAGUGCUUGGACAUGAUUUUAGCACCUUUAAAUGGAUACUCAAUUCAGGGGCGUAGGCAUAAGGGAGGCAGGGGAGGCGGCCGCCUCCCCAAUAUUUCGGCUUGUCGUCGUUAUAUAAAUUAAACGUAAAAUCUCAAAAAUCGCCGCCCCAAAACCAGUAUUUUAUCACGCGCUGUCAGUGCAGAAACCAUGUGUCCCCUCUCCGUCUGCUCCGAGGUUGCCAAUAGUGAUGUGUCAAUAUCCCUUGUUAGGUGUCAUAAGCCAGGGUCCCGGGUAAAUGUCAUUGCGUUAAUUGUUUUAUUGUUCUUUGCCGUGAUUGCACUGUCGGUGUUUUGAUUAAGGACAGGCUUUUCUUUUUAUUUUAAUUGACCGCUUAAAUUCAAAGGUAAAUGCCACUCAAAACAAUUUUGAGUAAAUAUACGCGUGAAAAACAUUAAUUUGAUUGAAAAUUAUUUUGUUCUCUAAGUAUAACAAUUAUUAUUUGAUUAGAAAUCAUUGAAACAAUAUCAUAUAUGUAAUUGUUUAAUGUUCAAAAUGAGUAUUCCUAAUCAGCCUCAAAAUUUUGCUUUUCCUAAGCGUACAUUCGGGAAGAAAAAGCCAGAACAGCGUUCAUUCCAAUCUAGUUGGUUUGAUUCGUUUACAUGGCUCCACUCCGAUGAGAGCCGGGACCUUGCGCCCGCCUCCCCAAUGUUUGGAGGUUAUCUACGCCCCUGCAAUUCCAAUAUAAAACAAAAUUAGGAGCUCUUUAAAAAGAAGCUGUUCUGCCAAGGCAAGAGCUGGGCAUCACACAAGCCAUUCUAUCCAGAAAAACUGACAGUUUUGGUUUACAGAAAUCAACAAAGGAGGGAUUCCUGAACAAUCAAAAUUUCCAAGCUAUACACACUGUUAUUACCUGUGGUGAUCUUUAUUGGUUCUGUUGGUUUACUUGGAUGGAACAUGUGUGAACUUUUAUAGAACCUUGAAAAAUCUAUAUAUGUCUAUCUAUAAACAAAAAUCAGCUAUGGUAUAAUAAGAUCAGAUGUGCAAACAAUGUCAAAGGGUUGUUAAAUUGACAAUUUGAAGGCAAUUAUGCUGAAAAAAUAUGAAAGUUCCCAUGCAAAUUUAGUCUGUAUAUCGACAAGUGUCUGCCAAUAAAUGUCAAACUAGUAAUACAAAACUUACCACAAGUAUGUAAAAGCACUAAAUGUCUGUAGUGAUCAUUUUUAGUA